AUUACCAAAAUUCUUAAAUUUACUUCCUUACCCAACUUACCAAAAGCAACUAUUUGCACAAUAAAAAGGAAUUACCUCUCUUAAUCCACCUCAAAAUAGCUCUUCUCCUGGUUCUCCCUCUGGCCCACCUCUGCCAGUUUUAAAUGUGCAGGAUGUAUGUUAGUUCUUCGAGGCAGGUGGCUACAGGCAUUAGCUGAGCAGGGACUCAGGACACCAGCCUUCAGUGACCCAAAAGUGAAUGAUGAACAGCUGAUCCAUCUAGAAUGUCAACAGUGCCCUUGGUGAGAAGCACUCCUGGUCUUUACAGUAAGGGCAAUUUAAUAGGAAGUCAAAUCAACAACGAGUAACGAAAUGCCUCCUGGGUGCUAGGCCAAGUGCUGGGUGAUAAAGGAGAUAGAGAAGUAAGACACGAUGUCCGGUCCUCAUGAAGCUUAUGGCAAACAGAGAAGUCACUAAAAGAGCCAGAAUAACUGCACAGAAAUAUUAAUAACCACCGUAAAGGAGAUCUCAAAGUGAAAGACCUUCCUUUAAUUUGGGACAUCGGGAAAAGCUUUAUCGACAAGAUGAUGUUUGAAAGGGCCUGGAAGGGUAUGUAAAAUGGGGGCGGGGGACAACUGUGCAGAGAAAUGUCACCCACCAAGGCAUGCAUGAUGAAGUGGGGAAAUUUUUAUUUUCUGAAAAAAAGAAAUCCAGCUCAUUGACAGACAGAGAAAACAGACUGGUAGUUGCCAGAGGUGGGGUGAAGCGGGUCAAAAGGUGGAAAGUUCCGGUUAUAAAGGUGGAAAGUUCCGGUUUUAAAGGAAGUCCUAAGGCUGUGAUGCCCAGCACGGCAACUAUAGGUAACGAUCCUGCGAAGCACAUUUGAAAGUCACUAUGAGAGUAAAUCUUAAAAGUUCUCAUCACAAGAAAAAAACGUUCUGUGACUAUGUGUGGUGACGGACGUUAACCAGACGUGCAACGGUGAUCAUUUCGCACCAGAUGCAAACGGCGCAUCGUCGCGUCGCCCACCUGAAGCUUACAUCACGUGGUAUGUGAAUUAUGCCUCAGUUACACCACAUCAUCUUCCGAACAGGAUGGUACAAAAGGACUUGUAGGGAGAAUCCUGCCUCUCUGGUAGGAGAAGCCGCUCUGUAAAAUCAUCAUGAUAUCGGCAGCAGCGUCGUCAGCAGCAGCCGGCCUUCAGCUCCGUUACUAAUGCUGUCAAAAAUGCACAGAUCCCUUUCUCGGCCGCCCUGAAGUCACGUGUCCCCAGGAAAAACCACGAGAUUCUCCACAUCACUGACAGAUACCCCAGUAUACUGAGUACACCGUUCCUAAAAGCUGGAAAUUCAGCAAGUGGCUGCAUAACAGCUCAUUUGGUUGAAAAUCCCUUUGGAGGGAGUCUUAUCAAAGCCAAUUCCCUGUCUACGUAAAAUCUGGUGCCUCUGAGUUCA